GGUCCUCUUAUGAAACGACUGAAUCAGCUGGGUAUCGAUUGUGCAAAAUUGUUGCUGUCUGUGUUGUUACAAUUGUAAUAUUUAAUACUAUUGUGAUAUUCAAGAUUUGUACAUUCAUACAGCUCUGGAUAACUUAAAACAGCGAUUAGACCUUCAGAGCGGCAUUAAUGCGUCCUGAAGUAAAGCGAAACGGCUAUAAACUCCAGCAAGAUAGAGUGAUUAUAUGCAGAGCCAUAUACCUUUAUCUCUAAAUAAAGUAUAACUAUAGAAACUGUGUUCAUCUUAACUGAAAGCUUCGUUGUGUUUCCUGACCUCAAGCAUCGCGCACCUGUCAGUCAGCACUUCCAAAGUUUCAAACAGAAAGCGCACAGCACGGUUACAGAAAAGUUUGGCCUUCGGGGCAUCUGGUGAACGCCCAUCCCUCUCUGCGCAGCCACAUUAACAGUGUGAGCAAAGCAUGGUACACUCGGUGAAAAUCUGGCCGAUUUGACAGCAUUGGCAAUGUUUCUGCCGUUGUCUGUUGUCUAGAGGGGUUACGUUGGUUUUGCUUUUGAUAUUCCUGACACAUUCAGACGGUUCCUUACUAAGAGCUCCGGCGAGCUCUCCCGGCUAAACGCAUAUUGCGAAGGCUUAAACAGAGCAGUGCUCGUAAUGUCGAGCGAAAAAAAGUGUUUCUUCACGUUCUUCUUCAAUAAGCUCAACUUUUGCAGGCACGCGUGACGUUAUUGGAAAGGUAGUCACGGGGUGUGUCGCGAUUCUCCCUUAUCACACCGUGACACAGGAUCGUAGAUCGGAGUUUCGCGAUUUCGAUUUCAUAUCGUGUAUCGUUACAGCCAUAAAUUAAAUG
rnacentral:lncRNA from 1 species